rnacentral:rRNA from 1 species
AGAGUUUGAUCCUGGCUCAGAAUGAACGCUGGCGGCAGGCCUAACACAUGCAAGUCGAACGGAUCCUUCGGGAUUAGUGGCGGACGGGUGAGUAACGCGUGGGAACAUACCCUUUGGUACGGAAUAGCCUCGGGAAACUGGGAGUAAUACCGUAUGUGCUCUUCGGAGGAAAGAUUUAUCGCCAAAGGAUUGGCCCGCGUUGGAUUAGGUAGUUGGUGGGGUAAUGGCCUACCAAGCCGACGAUCCAUAGCUGGUUUGAGAGGAUGAUCAGCCACACUGGGACUGAGACACGGCCCAGACUCCUACGGGAGGCAGCAGUGGGGAAUCUUAGACAAUGGGGGAAACCCUGAUCUAGCCAUGCCGCGUGAUCGAUGAAGGCCUUAGGGUUGUAAAGAUCUUUCAGAUGGGAAGAUAAUGACGGUACCAUCAGAAGAAGCCCCGGCUAACUCCGUGCCAGCAGCCGCGGUAAUACGGAGGGGGCUAGCGUUAUUCGGAAUUACUGGGCGUAAAGCGCACGUAGGCGGA